CUUUGGCAUUUGAGAGUUGCUUUGUGUAUACGGUCCUUUAACGGAGCAAAUGGCCAGCCAGGAAACCAAAGUAUGGACAAGGGGAAAGAAGCGUCUGUGGAGGAAGUUUUACAAGCGCCCUCCUCAUCCAUUUGGGUGGUGUUGCCCAUAUGCUACAUGUCUGUGGACCACUAUGUGUGUUUAAAGCUUUUUAGUAAAACGUUACUAAAAACUAUGACUCACUGUGGUGAAAAAGGUGGCAAAACAGUGACAACACAACACGGAGAUGCAUUGACACCCUUCUUCAAUCCAGAGGAUGGGCCAUCAACUCAC
rnacentral:lncRNA from 10 species